CUCUGCACUGACUGGAACCUAGUGCAAAAUGAAGCUUCCCUGGGCACGACUGCGAGCAGCAUUGAUCUGUAGAUAUAAACAUGCAAUGGCUCCUUUCAAGGCUGUGCAACAUGAGCAUUCACAGUAGUUUAUACCCACAACUAUCCGUAGGGAUGCAAGAGACCAUGCAGUAGCCUUAAGAUGGUUACAGCACCUUCGGCUAUCCACAUUCAAGGUUGCUUGAAACAAGAAUGUUACAGGAAGGGGCCAGUGAGAUGGUUCAGUGGCUAAAGGUGCCUGAAGCCACACCUGGCAACCUGAGUUUGAUGUGUGGGACCAAUGAGGUGGAGGGAAGAAUGACU